UACGGAGGGUGCGAGCGUUGUCCGGAAUCACUGGGCGUAAAGGGCGCGUAGGCGGCCUGAUAAGUAGGGGGUGAAAUCCUGCGGCUUAACCGCAGGGCUGCCUUCUAAACUGUCAGGCUCGAGGACAGUAGAGGCAGGUGGAAUUCCCGGUGUAGCGGUGGAAUGCGUAGAGAUCGGGAGGAACAUCAGUGGCGAAGGCGGCCUGCUGGGCUGUUGCUGACGCUGAGGCGCGAAAGCCAGGGGAGCGAACGGG
rnacentral:rRNA from 1 species